GUAGGUGAACCUGCGGAAGGAUCAUUACUAGUUUAGGGUGCUGAUCCAGCGCCCAAACUUCAACCCUUUGACUUGAUUAAUUUGUUUCUUUGCCGGUUUUGGCCGGCAGAAGUUUUCUCAAACCCAUUAGAAAUUUGUCCUCUGAACUUCAAAAAAUAAUAAUUAAAACUUUCAACAACGGAUCUCUUGGUUCUG
rnacentral:misc_RNA from 1 species